CCGAGAGAGGCUGCAUCAAGCACAGUUAGCUUCCUCAUCUGUGGCAGUUAAAAGAAAAAGGAUUUGAAUGGCUACUUGUAAAGAAGAUUAUAAGUGGAAUUCUGCCUCAGUGGGAAGUUUAACUUAAUAGAAAAUGUAAAGGUCCUUCUGCUGCAAGGAAAAUGCCCUGGCCUGUCAGCCGCUCUGCGAUAUGCAUUACACUGGCAUGCUCAUUCCGCCUGUCCUGCCAGUUUCUGAAGCGGUUGUGCAGUCGUCCUUCUGGUGUGAUACGAACUGCAGUGAGCGCUGCCUUCAGGCUCCGGCCAGGAAAGGAGCCUGUAAAACGUGAGCCGGGGCCCACCGUGCUCAGGGUCUGUCCCUGUCAGUUCCUGACUCUUCCCUAAAGUCAAGACGCAGGCGCAAGGUAACCGUAUCGGUUCUGGACAUGGACGCAGCCGGGCAGGGAUGAUGAAUGCUCACUUCUGCCUGGAACCUGCGCGCACCGACACUCUGGGACUGCCCGUCCCCCACCGCUUCAGCCCAACUUCCUGUGCUGCACGGAUGGAGGACGGCUUACAGCGGACUCAUCCGUGUCCUGCCACGAUGGUCUCUGGAAGUUAAGCAAGGGUGCAGCACCUCUUCAGUGCCCCUGGGUACCAGUCUCUAGGCUUCGGCUCCCCAGGUUACAAGUAUGGCUCAGCUGCUUGGCCUCUCAGCCUUUCUCUGCCUGAUCAGGAUACAUUUGCAGAGAGAAAAGCACCCCUAAAUACUAGCCUGAGCUUCCUGGCAUUUCUCUCCCACUCAGCCCUGCCUGUCAUUUUUGUUAGCUCUCUAGUAUCUUCAGACAAUUGUGUGUUAUAUUUUAUUUAACAACUUUAACAUACGCUCAGGGGGAAUGAGCUAAUUAUCUGAGUAUUUAAUUAUUUAACUGGUGAUUACAGAUGCUGGAUGAGUGGUAGGUUAUGGGGCUUUGGAAGUCUUUGAAAUGGGUGAAAUUGAGGCGUGAGUCAGUAACACUGACUGAAGGAAUGACGUGGACUAAGAACCAGAAGUAGGUUAUGUAUUUAUCUUUGCUUGGGAUGUAAAUGUAAAUUAAAGAUCUAUUCUGUGCUGUGUUCUUUGGGCAUGAGACAUUAACUGAACAACUAAGUUGAAUGUAUUCUAGAAAUUUCAUGACUGCAUAGUGAGAAGAGACACAGUGAGAAGAGGUUGAGGCUGAAAACAAAGAGAACACAAAAACUAAACUAAGAUAGGCUCGUAGAGGGAGGGAAUGGGAUUAAGAACAGACGGAGGGCUGACCCUUAACAGGAAAAGGCCUGAAGAAAGAUAAGAUGAAACUAGGUACAGACAGAGUUAAACUCACAGAGUUUAGAAAUCGGAAAAAAUAUUGCCUCUUCAAUUUUCUAGAAGUAGGAGGCAAGGUUAAGGGUGGGCUGGGGGCUGGAUGUGAAUUCUUAGAAUAAGUACCGGGGUGGCUUGGGAGCAGGAAAUACAGUUAGGAACAAGCAGUGGCCCGCUGCGCACUAUCCCAGGUUUUUUCUCCAGCAGUGUUUGCAGGCCUCAAUGCAGGACGAGGGGAUUGAUUCACUCCAAAUGAGGGCUUUGUAGAAUACAUACCACAGAAGGACUAGGGCCCAGGGAUUGCAGGGCACUAGGAAGAGAAUGGCAGUUAAGUGAGAUAGAAAGGGAGGCCAUUCAGGAAGUAGGUGACGGCGAAGUUAACAGAAAGAUGUCAGUAGCCUGAAGGUCCUCUUGAGAUCAGAUGAGACAGUGAGCAAAUAAAGAGGGGAGAAAGAAAAGAAAUUAGGGCCAGAAGUUAGAAUAUUGAUUUAUGUCAUAAGGGAGGAAGCUCUAGAGGUACUGAAUGGCCACUGGCGGGUUUGCCGGUGCUAGUAUAAUGCGAUAGACGGUAAAAUGAAGGAAAAAAAGACCAAACAAAUGAAGGUACUAAAGGUUAGUCUGAUGUUUCUCAGUCUUGCUUUUAAUUACUGCUUCUUAAAAGUCUUCUCCAGACACUUUUUACCUGAUUGUCCUCCUUCCCAAGAAGGUCUGCUACCUCAGCUAUACCGUAUAUAUCUAUUUAUUUACUGCAAUAUCUGUGAUGAUUUUCUCCCAAGAACCAAUUUCCACCCCUCCCGCAGCUCUUCUCCUGAAAAGGCGAGGGCUGGAUAGCAGGCUGGGCGGGCCACAUGCUCGCUGCAGUACUCGGGCUCUCAGUUCUCACUGCCAGGGGCUUUUUCCAUAUAAUAUAAAUAGGCGCCAGGGUUCACUGGAAUAUUGGUGAAAUUCAACGUUUCACUGGAUUUUAUUAUUUCAAAGAACAGGUCAUCUUGUAAAGAUUUUAUUGGGAUGUAUUUAGGCUGCUAACAAAUGCUACGGCUCUGUAAGAGUUUAUAAAAGGUUAAAUGUUAUUGAAUAGGUGUGCUGCUUCGUGGUGUUAGGGAUGGAUAUUACUUAGGUAAAGGACAUUUAAUAUAAAAAGACUACCUUUCUUGGCAGUGGUUUUCUUUUCUAUGUGAAUAGUGCCAAAGCGUUCACUACUGCUGUUCUACAGCUUGCCACUUGAGGGCAGCAACAACAUUUUGGGAAUUGCAGAAUGGGAGCAUUUACUAGUUAAGAAAGAAAAAUAUUAAAGAUCCUAUCACAUGAUGAGGGGAAAAAGGGAUGGCGCUGUGCUCACAUGAAUACCUACAUUCCUGUACAGUCGAAGGAAACAUUUGCAAGACAGAAGUAUUUGUAAGCUGUACUUAUUCUCCAAUAUGUUUCUUUUUCUAUCCUAGAUCCAGACUAUUUAUGGUUUCCAUAAGUAACUACUCAUAAAUGAAGUCAACAGCAGAGCAGAUUACUUUUCCUCGCUGAGUCUCAGUUCCUCAGCUAUGAAAUGGCAGCAUAUAUUUACAAGGCUGAGGUUAAAUAUGGUCUCAGGAAAAGGUAACUGAUAGUAAUGACCACACUAAAGGCAUGGACAUUUUACAGAAGUGUGAAGAAUGCUUAAUCAUUCCAGCAUUUCAACAAUCAAGGAAACCCAAAGUUCACAAGGAAAUUUUAUACUUCAUGGAUUGGCAAGAGGCACAUGAAAGUUGGUCUCUAGUUUCAAGAUAUAACUGGAAAAGCCCUAGAGUAUGGCUAGGUACGGUUGUGAUUAAUUUUCUAUGUUCCGUUCACUAGGUCUUCCACAUAUAGUAUAGUACAGAUAUACCCUAUGUUACAUGAUAAGGAAAUAAAAAUGGAAUGAAACAAAAUAGCCAGCCCUCAAAAGACAGCAUCUAGCAGGAGGGAAAAGAUGUUGCAGAAAUAAUUACAGCACAAGAUAGCAUGGGAUGGAUGAGAGGAGAGGCACAGUGUACUAGGGACUUCAGAAGAGAGACAGACUGAAGUCUGCCGGAGGGAGCUCACCAAAGGUUCAGGAAAGCUAGUAAGUCUCAAAAUGUGGCGGGUCGAGAUCAACAGGGAGAGCUUUCCCACUUGAAUGAACGAUAUGAAGACAGGGAUGGAGUGUUGGGAAAUCAAGAGGAAGAGCUAACGUAAUUUGGUUUGUUCAGAAGACACAGUGGAGUCAAGAGACAUUUGCAAAGGACAGACAGGAGCCAGUUAUAAAUGUCCAGGGAGCAGAG